rnacentral:rRNA from 1 species
GACUGUGCUAAGGUAGCAUAAUAAUUUGGCCUUUAAUUGAGGUCUGGAAUGAAUGGGGGAACCAAGAAGACUCUGUCUUAAGUAAGUAUUAUAAAUUUGCUUAGAAGGUGAAAAUUCCUUUAUAAAAAAGAAAGACGAGAAGACCCUUAGAUUUUGUAUUAAAUUAAAUUUUUAAAUCAUAUUUGUUGGGGCGACAAAGUAUCAAUUUGUUAACAUACUUAGCUAUUUUUCUAAACAAAUCUAAUAUAUUAAUAUUGAAUAAAUACCUGAGGGAUAACAGCAUAAUUAAUUAUUUACAUUGUGACCUCGAUGUUGGACUAGGA